UACAGAGGUCUCAAGCGUGGUUCGGAUUCAUUGGGCGUAAAGGGUGCGUAGGCGGCGCGGUAAGUCGGGUGUGAAAUCUCGGAGCUUAACUCCGAAACUGCAUUCGAUACUGCCGUGCUUGAGGACUGGAGAGGAGACUGGAAUUUACGGUGUAGCGGUGAAAUGCGUAGAUAUCGUAAGGAAGAACAGUGGCGAAGGCGGGUCUCUGGACAGUUCCUGACGCUGAGGCACGAAGGUCAGUGGAGCAAACGGG
rnacentral:rRNA from 1 species